rnacentral:rRNA from 1 species
UACGUAGGGGGCAAGCGUUUGGUCCGGAUUUAUUGGGCGUAAAGAGCGUGUAGGCGGUUUUACAGGGUCCGCUGUGAAAACUCGAGGCUCAACCUCGAGCUGUCGGUGGAAACCGUCUGGCUAGAGUCCGGAAGAGGAGAGUGGAAUUCCCGGUGUAGCGGUGAAAUGCGCAGAUAUCGGGAAGAACACCCGUGGCGAAGGCGGCUCUCUGGGACGGUACUGACGCGUGAGACGCGAAAGCGUGGGGAGCGAACAGG